GUAGGUGAAACUGCGGAAGGAUCAUUA
rnacentral:ncRNA from 3 species